AUCAGAAUUACUUGUUGUUUCCAGCUGCUUUGUUCUGUACUGGUAUUGUAAAGAUGCCUUGAAUUCAGCUUAAUUGGAGAGUUAAGCUAGGUUUACAGCUGUUUUUUUUCUUAUUUGAAGAAGUGCAAAGCAGCUGAACAUUCCAGUCUGGAUGAGCUGAUCCAACUAGAGAUGGCUGAAGAUCCCUCUGGACUGCAUGCUCCUUGGAAAGCACAUCUGAAGAUGAGCAUAUCACUCCUAGAAUUUGAAAGACAUUUGAACAUGAAAUUGAAUGGGUCUGCCUCAGUAAAUAUAGGAGCAUAACAUACAUAAUCAAAAAAUCUAAAAAUGACACAACAAAAGUUACAGGAACGCAAUCAAAAUUUCAACCACGCCUGAAUUAUCCUACAUUCAAAAGAAAGAAUACACAGGUGUAAUAGGAUACUCAGCAUGUAUACCUCCAACCACUAAGAUCAAGCCUAUCAACUACAUUAUAGAAGAGUUUACUUUUGCUGAAUUGUUAUGUUCUGUUUUAGAGGUAUCUUUUCAUCACUGAAGAACACAUCAAAAGAUUUUAGUCUUUGACAUUCUUAUCCAGGAUACGUUUCACAGUCUUUCAUCAGCCACUGAAACUGGAUUAGCACCAGAAAAUGUUUAACACACACUCUAUGAGCAAAGAAGAGACCAAGGGGCCUUUGGCUUGCAAAGAAUCUAUAAAAUGUGAUUAUUAAUUUCAAGGUAUCACACAUUUAAAAUAGAGCUCUUCAGCAUUCUUUAUAACUAAAAUAAUGAAUUGAUGAAGAGCUGAUGAAGAGCCUGCCAGAAGAUAAUGUCAGAAUCCAGAAACAAAAUAGCUCACUUAACAACUGAGAUGGGCUCAUAAAAACCUCAGAACAGAAAUGAAACCCUGAUUUUCAAUUUAAUUUCUAAACACCACACUUGCUUCAAUUUACAAUGUAUUAGAGGAGUGGGUAAAAUUAAUCUUUAAAAUCCUCCAUCCCAUUACAGAAAUGGAAAAUAAAACGCUUACUGGUUUAUAGUUCAGUGGUGAUGGAUGCACGCUAGGCCUCUUCUUAGUAUGUACCGAGCUGUUUUCAAGAAAUGCAUAUAAUCUGGAAGCAAAGCUGACAAAACUAUGUUACUGAAAUUGCCUUGAUGCAAACACUGCAAAGGCUGUUUGUUUACUUGAAGAAGUCAGAGCUGGGUGGUGGAAUUUUAACUACUAAAUUUUCCAGUUCUCAUCAUCAGCAUUAGAUGGUGUAUUUAGUUCUAAAACACAGUUAAAUGUUCCUGGAAAUCUCGGACGAUCCUGUGCUGCAGCUGAAGCCACGAAACACAUCCAACUCACAAAAUGAGAUACUCCGUGCUUGAAAAUUACAAUUUUUAAAAAGUGAAAUCCUUAAAAUUCUUGAAAUAUUGUCUGUUGAAAUUCUUGGAAAUAUUUGUUUGAAAAGAAUGUAGCUGCAUGUAGAAAAUGGUUGCAAAACUGCUAUAAUUUUGAGCUAGCAACACAUGCCAAUGUAUCAAUAUUGCACACAAUUAUUUUUUAUGAGAAGGCCAUACGAACAUGAUAAAAUUAACAAUUUCAGUGUUUCAAGAAUUAAUUUAAAAUACAUUUUGCAAGGUUCUUUUAGCUAUUUAUACAUUUUUUUCAUCACAGCGUUACAUCAGAACAUUAAAGAUUCUAUCAGAAAGGUAAGAAAGGAAAACAGUUGUGCAAAAUCAGAACAUAAUGUGAGUUUACGGUUGCUCUGUGAUUCACUGUAACGCAUUAUUAAUCCAUAUGUUAGUACAAAUAAAAUAUUUUGAAAAUUG
rnacentral:lncRNA from 7 species